ensembl:snRNA U6 U6 spliceosomal RNA
CUGCUAGCUUUGGCAGUACAUAUACUAAAAUUGGAACAAUACAGAGAUUAGCAUGGCCCCUACACAAGAAACUAUGGAAGAAAGUCAUUUCUUACAGUUCU